rnacentral:rRNA from 1 species
AUUGAACGCUGGCGGCAUGCCUUACACAUGCAAGUCGAACGGUAACAGCACUUCGGUGGCUGACGAGUGGCGAACGGGUGAGUAAUACAUCGGAACGUGCCCGAGAGUGGGGGAUAACGCAGCGAAAGCUGUGCUAAUACCGCAUACGAUCUACGGAUGAAAGCAGGGGAUUCGCAAGGACCUUGCGCUCAUGGAGCGGCCGAUGGCAGAUUAGGUAGUUGGUGGGAUAAAAGCUUACCAACGACGACGAUCUGUAGCUGGUCGUGAGAGGACGGACCACGCCACACUGGACGUGAGACACGGCCCGACGACUCCUACCGGGAGGGCGAGCAGUAA